GUUGUCAGGUUGUUGUGAAUGUUUAUUGAAAAUUAAGAGGAGUUGGUAUUUGUUUCGUCAACAAAAAAAAAAACCAAAAAGGAAAAAAAACGGAGUUGGUGGUGAAAAAAAGGAAAAAUCGUGCGUUACAUGAUUUUGUUACACUUUUAUCAAUUGUAGCAUUAAGUAUUGUCACUACCCGUAUCAAUUUCAAUUUAUUAUAUCAUUAUGAUUUCUCUCUUCUCAUAAUUGAAAUACCAAAAUAUAAACACUUUUUUUUGUGUUUGACGGGCAAAAGUGCUUUUCUCGGUAAUUUUCUUGUUGAAUUCGCUUAAUAGUUAAUACAUUUUUUUAUUCGGAAAAAUGAAAUUCUUCAAAUCAAAGCUAUAAACGUGUUGAGCUGUUUGUUACCUUUUAUAUGUCCACUUUCCAUUUUUCAUUUCCAUGUUUUAUUAUUUAGGUUUUUGAAACCCCGUUUUGUUGCAAGUUUGGUGUUGUUUUUGGACUCAUCCAAACAGGUCAUAGUGUUCUUUCUUUCUCUUUCUCUUUCUAUUUCUAUUUCUCUCUCAGUAAUAUAAACAAACAGUUUCACUGCGUAUAGAUUUCCUCCGAAUGUCACAAUUCUUUUGCGACGCAUUGCUCUGCUUUCUUCCUCCACGCGUCUUUCACCGUCAUCAUUUCUCGUUUUCAUCUCAUUUUCUGACAAUGAGAUCAAACUUGUAGUACUAAUACUUUUUCUUCAUCUUCUUCAAAAAAAUUUCCCAAAAAAACAUAAAAAAAGGGUUGUGUUGUGUGGUUGAUUUCUGAGAUCAGAGACAAAAAA
rnacentral:lncRNA from 1 species